GGUGUUUUUCAAAAUUCCUAAAUCCAGUUCCAGCAGUGAGAAGUUUUUCUGCAUCACAGUCCUUGCAUCAGGUGGCAGAUCCUGUAUGGAAUCUUAGUCGACUCAAUCAUGUAGCCAUUGCAGUGCCAGAUUUGAAAAAGUCCACAGCAUUUUAUCAGAAUAUUUUGGGGGCCCAGGUAAGUGAGGUGGUCCCUCUUCCUGAACAUGGAGUAUCUGUUGUUUUUGUCAACCUGGGAAAUACCAAGAUGGAAUUGCUUCAUCCACUGGGAAAUGACAGUCCAAUUGCAGGAUUUCUGCAGAAAAACAAGGCUGGAGGAAUGCAUCACAUCUGCAUUGAGGUAUUUUUAUUAUUUUAUUGUUG